UACAGAGGGGGCAAGCGUUAUUCGGAAUUAUUGGGCGUAAAGGGCGCGUAGGCGGCGAUUCAAGUGACGGGUGAAAUCCCUCGGCUUAACCGAGGAACUGCCUGUCAGACUGGAUUGCUUGAGUCCGGGAGAGGCGAGUGGAAUUCCCAGUGUAGCGGUGAAAUGCGUAGAUAUUGGGAGGAACACCAGUGGCGAAGGCGGCUCGCUGGACCGGUAUUGACGCUGAGGCGCGAAAGCUAGGGGAGCAAACGGG
rnacentral:rRNA from 1 species